rnacentral:rRNA from 1 species
ACCUGCGGAGGGAUCAUUACACAAAUAUGAAGGCGGGCUGGAACCUCUCGGGGUUACAGCCUUGCUGAAUUAUUCACCCUUGUCUUUUGCGUACUUCUUGUUUCCUUGGUGGGUUCGCCCACCACUAGGACAAACAUAAACCUUUUGUAAUUGCAAUCAGCGUCAGUAACAAAUUAAUAAUUACAACUUUCAACAACGGAUCUCUUGGUUCUGGCAUCGAUGAAGAACGCAGCGAAAUGCGAUAAGUAGUGUGAAUUGCAGAAUUCAGUGAAUCAUCGAAUCUUUGAACGCACAUUGCGCCCUUUGGUAUUCCAAAGGGCAUGCCUGUUCGAGCGUCAUUUGUACCCUCAAGCUUUGCUUGGUGUUGGGCGUCUUGUCUCUAGCUUUGCUGGAGACUCGCCUUAAAGUAAUUGGCAGCCGGCCUACUGGUUUCGGAGCGCAGCACAAGUCGCACUCUCUAUCAGCAAAGGUCUAGCAUCCAUUAAGCCUUUUUUUUUCAACUUUUGACCUCGGAUCAGGUAGGGAUACCCGCUGAACUUAAGCAUA